AUAUCAAUAAGCGGAGGAAAAGAAACUAACAAGGAUUCCCGUAGUAACUGCGAGUGAAGUGGGAAGAGCUCAAAUUUGGAAUCUGGCGGUUCUGGCCGUCCGAGUUGUAAUCUAGAGAAGUGUUACCUGCGCUGGACCGUGUACAAGUCUCCUGGAACGGAGCGUCAUAGAGGGUGAGAAUCCCGUCUCUGACACGGACUACCAGGGCUUUGUGGUAUGCUCUCAAAGAGUCGAGUUGUUUGGGAAUGCAGCUCAAAAUGGGUGGUAAACUCCAUCUAAAGCUAAAUACUGGCGAGAGACCGAUAGUGAACAAGUACCGUGAGGGAAAGAUGAAAAGAACUUUGGAAAGAGAGUUAAACAGUACGUGAAAUUGCUGAAAGGGAAACGCUUGAAGUCAGUCGCGUUGGCUGGGGAUCAGCUUCACAAACAAGUGCGGUGUAUUUCCUGGUUGACGGGUCAGCAUCAAUUUUGACUGCUGGAGAAAGGCUUGAGGAAUGUAGCAGCCCCGGCUGUGUUAUAGCCUCUUGUCAGAUACAGUGGUUGGGAUUGAGGUGUGCAGCACGCCGCGAGGCCGGGGCUUAAAUAGCCCACGUUCGUGCUUAGGAUGUUGACAUAAUGGCUUUAAGCGACCCGUCUGAAA
rnacentral:rRNA from 1 species